UGUGUGUGUGUGUGUGUGUGUGUGUGUGUGUGUGGAGAGAAAGGAGUGUGUGAGUUUAUCUGAUUUUGAUGUGAGAGAGAGUAUAAAUGGAGGGGGGCACAGUGGCAUUUGCACGUGCAGGUUUGUUCCAUGCCUCUGUAGGUGUGUGAAGUACACACACAUGACUCCUGGGACUCCCAUGUUCAUUAUUCUUCCUAAAAGAACCAUUAAAAUUUCAUCAGUGCAAUGCAAUCUGUAGCCAGGCAGGAGGUAGGAGUGUGCAGGAGGAGAGGGAGACACUCAGCAGUGUGAUGGGGAGGGCGAUGCAUCCUCCGCUCAUUCACCGCUGCCUGCCUUCAUGUCUCUCUCUCUCUCCUCCYUCCUCCGCCUUUUUUUCCUUCACCUUCUUCUUCUUCUUCUUCCUCUUCUUCUCCGGUGGUUCUGAUUCCCUCGCCGCGAGCCCGUCAAAGCGCAGAUUAUGGUUCCCCUCACGAUGUGAGCUAGCAGCAUCCUUCCCCUCCCUCUUUUCCUUUCUUUCCUGCCACUCGUCCUGCCUCAGUUCCACUCCUGCCGCUCCUCUCUCAGACAUCACUGGACCAGGUUUUUUUUUUUCUUUCCUCGAGCUCUAGGAUGAAKCGGGAGUAACGUCCAGGAGGAAAGAGUUAACAAGGUGGCUUUUUUCUUCUUUUUCUUGUAAGGGUGAACAGGUUGGGAUGUAAAAACACACAGAGCUGCAUCCCAACUGGAAUAUUUUUUUGAGUAAAUAUUCCUCUUUUAUGGAACUUAAAGAUGUGGAGAGAACACUGUGUGCUGGUGCCAGAGAGUUCACUGUGAGGAAGAAGCUUGAACCUGUUGUCUUCACAGCCUGAAGCCUGAACACCAUCCUCGAAAUUAUCUUUACCAAGCUGGUAUAAUGGCACUCUUCUGGUAGUUUUUGCCUUUUUGUCCGGCUCCAAACGGCCGCCUGGUGUUGAUAAAUCUUGGGCACAUUUUUACUCUCUCCUUACAAACCAGCUUCUACAAUGGAUUGCCUGUGUCCGGGUGAAGGGGUGAGCUGGACACAGGCCCUCGCCGGCAAACUGUAGCCAUCUGGAUUUUAUUCAGCAUAAUUCCCGUGCUUUUAUUCUGGAGUUAUCCUGCAUUUGGACCAGGGAUGGAUGUACCAGAGGCCAGCAGGCAUGCCAAGAAGUCAACAUCUCAAAAGCUUGAGGACCAGAAAAAGGCAAAUGAAUCCUGAAAUGGAGGUUAGCCUCCUCCACCCUCCCAUCCCCCCUUCUGUUGUGAAAGAGAAUAAACAUCUGAGAAACGCUGGAGAAGACCUCCGAGCGGCUUGCUGCAUAGAAAUGUCCCCGUGUGGCGAGCUUCAUCUGCAGAAUGACAAUCAUGGGAGCCGCGGCCCCGCUCUUACUCUGAAAUGUUUCAAACUUUAUUCAGAUGUUUCUGUGGUGUAAUAAACGUUUUUGAAAGAGUAAUAAACAUUUCCUAAAAGUUCAACAAAAAUCUAUUCAUUACUUUUGUGAUAUAACCCUGAGAAGGCAGCUGGCUAACUUUAGCAAAACUUCCCUGUUGUCAGGGAAACCA